AAACUAACAAGGAUUCCCCUAGUAACUGCGAGUGAAGCGGGAAAAGCUCAAAUUUAAAAUCUGGCGGUCUUUGGCCGUCCGAGUUGUAGUCUGGAGAAGCGUCUUCCGCGUUGGACCGUGUACAAGUCUCUUGGAACAGAGCGUCAUAGAGGGUGAGAAUCCCGUCUUUGACACGGACUACCAAUGCUUUGUGAUGCGCUCUCAAAGAGUCGCGUUGUUUGGGAAUGCAGCGCAAAAUGGGAGGUGAAUUCCUUCUAAAGCUAAAUAUUGGCGAGAGACCGAUAGCGAACAAGUACCGUGAGGGAAAGAUGAAAAGCACUUUGGAAAGAGAGUUAAACAGUACGUGAAAUUGCUAAAAGGGAAACGCUUGAAGUCAGUCGCGUCGUCCGGAACUCAGCUUUGCUUCGGCUUAGUGCACUUUCCGGUUGACGGGCCAGCAUCGAUUUUGACCGCUGGAAAAGGGCUGGAGGAAUGUGGCACCUUCGGGUGUGUUAUAGCCUUCAGUCGCAUACAGCGGUUGGGAUCGAGGAACGCAGCGCGCCUUAUGGCUGGGGUUCGCCCACAUUCGCGCUUAGGAUGCUGGCAUAAUGGCUUUAAACGACC
rnacentral:rRNA from 2 species